rnacentral:lncRNA from 10 species
GGCUUGUGUGGGCUUCUGGGCAGCCCCAUCUCAACAGAGUGUUGGGAAACCGAGCUAGGUCCGUCUUGCCUGUGGGAUGGCAGGGGUGCCUCUGCUCCAGCAAGGUGUGGCGGCCGCUGACCACUCGGCCAGGAGUUCUGGCUGCCCAUGGUGCAGAGUGUCCAAGCAUGACCCAAGGGGUCUUCCCAGCCUGGGGCCACUGACGGGCAGGUGACGCAGAUACCUUGCCUGGCUUGGUGCACCUACAAAUUGUAUCCUGGAUUUGUUAGCCAUUCAGCAAUGGUCUGCUAAAUGAUGAGAACAAGCCGGCACCCCAGGAAUUGCAGGUGUAACAGCAAAUGGGAUAAAGACGCCGCCCUCACAGGGCUUACCGUGGAAGAGAUGGGAAAUCCAGACCCACAGCUAAGGGCAGGGCCAGAGGGUGCUGAGUGCUGGACGAAGUGAGACGAGGGAAGCGGGUGUGGACUGAAUUGCAACCCCCCUCCAACAAGAUGUUUGUGUUGAAGUCUUAACCCCCAGGACCCCGGAACAUUUCCUGAUUUGGAGAUAGGGCCUUUACAGUGGUCACCAAGUUCUGAGGAGGCCAUUAGGGUGGGCCCUAAUCCAAUAUGACCGCAGUCCUACUAAAAGAGGAAGUUCAGGCACAGAGGCCGCAUGGGAGGGAAGCUGAUGCUCACAGAGGUGAAGUCACCCUGACAAGCCCCACAGACCAUGGCCCAGGCUUGCUAGACUCUAGGGACAGAGCCCUUCUUCCCCUCAAUGAGGCCACUGACCUCUCCAGGUGAACGUUGUUGGUGCAGCAGGGCAUGAACCAGCUCACGUGCCUGGCCCACUGGCCAGACCACAGCAUGGCUCUAGCUGCCCUGUCCCUGGCUG